AUAAAUAUCAAGUGAAUUUGCCACUUCAAAUUUAAAUACUCACAUGUAAAAAGUAGACCCAAAUGGAGCUUAUACUCAAUAGUAUACAUGAUUGUUCUCUUAUUGUACGUCACAUUUGUUGUCUCUCUGAAAGUGUCUUUGUUACUAAUCAAAAUCAGUGUAAUACUCUUAAAAGCUUUUAGACGUACAGUUUGGUCUUUGUUACCCAAAUGAUUUGAGAAAAUGCAUAUGUGCACUCAGGAGUGCAACAUAUCCAUCUGAAGUAGAGAGCGCACCGGAUACACAGACUGAUCAUGUCGUCAGAUAGGCAAGAAGAUAUGUAGGCUAAGCUGCUGGUAUAAUAUGGGGACUAAUUGGUGCAACGGAGUUGAUUUCGUACAAGUGACAUUGUCUUAUAUGUUCGGUAAUAUCCUAGCUUUCAUAUGUUUGGUAGUACCACCUUCACUUAUACAGUUAUACCACUGCAACCAUUUUCACUUAUGGGCUUGCUAGCUUAUUGUAUGUUCCGCGUUGUAGAUCUCUCCAGCAUAGGAACUGAACAAUCACAAAAGGAAGUAACAACUCGCGAAUUUUUAUGUGAGCUUCCAAGUGGUUUAUAAUUUCUAGAUAUUGGAUGUAUAAUAGACUAAUGGUUAAUGUACUGAACAUAUAUUUCUUACUGGUUA